CACGUAGGGGCCAAGCGUUGUCCGGAUUUAUUGGGCGUAAAGAGCUCGUAGGCGGCUCGGUAAGUCAGGUGUGAAACCUCCAGGCUCAACCUGGAGACGCCACCUGAUACUGCUGUAGCUAGAGUCCGGUAGGGGAGCGUGGAAUUCCUGGUGUAGCGGUGAAAUGCGCAGAUAUCAGGAGGAACACCAGCGGCGAAGGCGGCGCUCUGGGCCGGAACUGACGCUGAGGAGCGAAAGCGUGGGUAGCAAACAGG
rnacentral:rRNA from 1 species